GGCUGCCUGAACAAUAGAAGGCUGCUUAAGUGAUGGUAUGUGACAUCCAACACUGGGUCAUAAAAGACAUUGCAGCUUCUGGCUUGUUCUCUUGCAUCACUUGCCCAAGGGAAAGCUGUCUGCCACACUGAAGGACACUCGCAGCUCUAUGAAGAGGCCCUAUGAAGAGGCCCACAUGGAGAGGAGCUGAAACUUCCCACCAACAGCCCAUGCCAACUGGUCAGCUAUAUGAGUGAACCACCUGGGAAUCAGAGCUCCCAGCCCCAGUCAAGCCUUCAGAUGACCGCAGCCCAGCUGACAUAUGACUGCAACCAUAUAAGAGUCCCCGACACAGGACUAUCCAGCCAAGUUGCUCUGAACUCCUGACCCAAAGAAACCAUGAGAGAAAUAGUUCUCUCCUUCCUGUAGCUUUUGGCUAUCAGCUUCAUUUCAUCUAGAUCACAAACAGAACUUUGGCAAAUAGAGACAACAGGGCAACAGCGUGAUGGAGACGAGUGGGCAAGUAGAAAACAGAAGGUUCUUUAGGAAGUCAGGCAUAUGUUUCAGUAGCCUGUGAACCAGCUCUUGUUCUUUAUCGUGGACAUGAUCCCUGGAAAUUGUAAACAACAUAAAGAAAACUGACCCGAUGCAGACAUAGCCC
rnacentral:lncRNA from 1 species